rnacentral:ncRNA from 2 species
GUGUUAUCAAGAAAGGUGGAGGGAUUGGACCCUGUGAAGCCUUAGCAACCCUCGACUUCGAGAAGGUGCUACAUUCUACCCUUGUCUUGAACUGGUUUCGAGACCUUUGGGAACUUUAAUCUGUAAGGGGAAGGAUAACGU